UCAGCAGGGCAUCUGCAACUGUGCUAAACCUGAACUGCAGCUUGGUGCUUUUGCCCAUGUGCCGCUCUCUGGUGACCUUUGUACGAGGAACACGGAUGAUAUCAAGCAGAAAGACACGCAGACUGCUGGACAAGUCCAAGACCUUUCAUGUGGCGUGUGGCGUUGCCAUCUGCAUCUUUUCUGUUAUGCACGUUUCUGCCCACCUGGUUAAUGUUGUC